rnacentral:tRNA from 1 species
GUGGGUAGAGCUCAGUGGUAGAGUGCAUGCUUAGUAAGCACGGAGUCCUGGGUUCAGUCCCCAGCACCUCCA